UACAGAGGUCCCGAGCGUUGUUCGGAUUCAUUGGGCGUAAAGGGUGCGUAGGCGGUCUGCUAAGUUUGGUGUGAAAUCCCGGGGCUCAACCCUGGAAUGGCAUUGAAUACUGGCGGACUAGAGUACCGGAGAGGAAACUGGAAUUUACGGUGUAGCAGUGAAAUGCGUAGAGAUCGUAAGGAAGACCAGUGUCGAAGGCGAGUUUCUGGACGGUAACUGACGCUGAGGCACGAAGGCCAGGGGAGCAAACGGG
rnacentral:rRNA from 1 species